rnacentral:rRNA from 1 species
AUUGAACGCUGGCGGCAGGCCUAACACAUGCAAGUCGAACGAGAGGCGGACGGGUGAGUAAUGUCUGGGAACCUGCCCGAUGGAGGGGGAUAACUACUGGAAACGGUAGCUAAUACCGCAUACCAUCGGAUGUGCCCAGAUGGGAUUAGCGAGUAGGUGGGGUAACGGCUAACCUAGGCGACGAUCCCUAGCUGGUCUGAGAGGAUGACCAGCCACACUGGAACUGAGACACGGGCCAGACUCCUACGGGAGGCAGCAGUGGGGAAUAUUGCACAAUGGGCGCAAGCCUGAUGCAGCCAUGCCGCGUGUAUGAAGAAGGCCUUCGGGUUGUAAAGUACUUUCAGCGGGGAGGCGUUACCCGCAGAAGAAGCACCGGCUAACUACGUGCCAGCAGCCGCGGUAAUUC